rnacentral:lncRNA from 1 species
AACAUAUUGGCGAUUAUUUCACACAUUCCAUAUCAGCCACACCAGAUAGUUGAUGUUGGCAAUUGGAAAUUAUUUAGUACAUGAUGAUAAUCAGAUUCAUGUUUAGCAGUUAACUGGGGCAAUGACAGCACCAACGACAGUAAGGCCAGUCUUCCAGGUGGUUCCAUCACAUCCAUUCAUCGAGAACUUGACAGUAUUCUCACAGCCGCAGGCGCCUGUGUUGCAGAAUUCACCAACCUUAAGUCCCACCAAUGCAUUCGUUGGCUUGGUCUUCAAAUCUUCCUUGUGCUCUUCAGUAGUGCCGUUGGGACGAGUAAGCUUAAGGGUCACUGGACCAUUCAUGCAAAGAUUGUCGCUAAGCUCCACAGCAAGAUACACUGCGUAUUUCACUCCCUUGGUGAGGUUGUUGGCAUUGUACUUUCCGUCAAUUUGUAGCCAGCAUACUGUGAUCAGUUCAGCAACCUCCAUAGGCUGGCAGCUGUGUGUACAAAAGUCCGAAAAACCAAAUAUUAUGUAAAAAUUAUCUCAAAUCUUUGGUCUCGAAAAAUGGAAGUCAAUGGGAUGUUUGGGUUAGCUGAAAAGAAGUGACUUUUUACUUAAAUUAAAGAAGUGGAGUAGAAGUGAGAAGUAAAUAAGUUAAUAAAGAGUUUGGAAAAGAGGUAGAAGCUGUGAGAGAAAAUCUAGUAUCCUCAGCUUCUUAAAAGUGCUUCUACUUAUUUACACAAACAGCUCAAGAAAAGCAUAAGCCAACACCAACUUCUGUCCGGUCAUUAAAUUUGUAGUACAAAAACACCAAAAGCUUUCCAACAUGUGCUAUACAUACCUGAUUGGGUAUGUCUUAGAAACCCAUUUCCAGUAGCGGCUGUCUGAACCCCAAACUAUUGAGAGUUCCUUUGCACUGAUCACCGCAGCGAAGGACUGGACCAAUUAAUCAACAUUAACGGAGAUAUAUAUAUCGUACAAAAUUAUAUGACUAAUUAGACUAUAAUUAAGAACAAGUCACACGCAGGCAGGUGUGUGCAUGGUGCAUAACAAUAAUACUAUUGCAGAAUUAUAAUUUCAUUAAUUACCUAAAUAAAAAAAGAAGUGAAAAUUAAAAACCAAAAUAACUUACACUCUUGUCUUUCGCAGCCUGGACACCUUGAGUCCACAAUGACACGAUGUCAUCACGCACACGCUGCACUUGAGCCAUCCUCCUUGCUAGUUGAGAAUAAGAAGUUCUUAUGUAAUUCUUGUGCUGUCGAUGCCAAUCCUCACUUCCUUGAGCUCUAUUUAUAGCAUUUCCGACGGUCCUAUUUGUCCACUGAUUGAUAGUUACACUUAACCUUAUCUACGGUAGUAGGAUGCUCUGUCCCGUUAUUCUUUCUUUUUAUAAAAUAAGUGGAGCUUGGAUAAGAGAUUCAUCAAUUAUUUAUGCCAAUUGUGCGGUACAAGCCUCACUGGAAUCUGGUGAAUUUCGGUUUUGAUUGAAAUACUCAUAUAACGACGAAAGCGUGGAAGCAUCCGACUACGAGAAAAGAAUUACAGUGACAGGACUACUUCUGUCAGAGCAGGACAUUACUCAACUCGAUUAACUCUGAAAUUUAAUAUUGGCACACAUGAACCAAACCACAAAAAACUGAGCUUCUCAUGAAUCAUUAAACCAGAAUAUUUAGGAAACUGAACUAGAAAAUUCGUCACAAGAUCUGCCUGUAUAAAUAAACUUAUAAUUACUUUUAAGGCUGUUAAAUUUCAUAAUAUAUGUUUGUGAAAAAAUAUUUGAAAUCCAGACAACCGACUACCAUAGGCUGUUUCUAACCUGGUAACCUUUUUGCCCAGAUACCGACCAAAUUAAGUUAUUUCUAAGUAAACACAUAAUUUAAGAAAUGAACCUCACAUUUCCGACCGCUAGUGUAUGAAAUCGGUCGGUAAUGACUUGACGGUCGGAAAUGAAUUUAGUUUGUCGGUUUUUAAACAGAGAAUCCCCAAAUGAUCCUGCAAUACCUUCUGACUGACUCAUUUCCGACCAACUAAAAUAUUGGUCACUUUUAUAAUAGGGGCUCCCCAAUUGAACCUUGAAUUUCGUUCUGACCAAAUCAUUUCCGACCAACGUUAUUGGUUGGUUUUAAAACAGGGCCCCGAAUGAACCCUAAAAUUUAUUUCUGGCCGCCUCUAGUUGGUUUUAGGUCUAUUCAAGUGUAUGCCAGGUUCUAAGAAAAUUUUAAAACAUUACCGACUAAAGAUAGCGGUCGGUUGUCGAUCGGUUAUAAAUAUCAUUUCCGAUCUUUUAUUUACAACCAGGUUUCAAAGGACCAACACAAUCGGUCGGUCGGUGGUCGGUUACGAGGUGAAAACCGACCAACUCUCUUUAUUUCCGGUCGGCGGUCGGAAAUGCCCGCUUUUCUUGUAGUGAUAGCAAUUUCUAUCGGAACACAAUAUCUUACACCUUUAAGUCAUAAAUCACUGUUUUAAACUUUCCAAACAGCUUCCAAGUGUCAUAUUAAGCUUAUCUGAUGGCCCUUGUACUCGAAACAGUAUAAACCAUAUACAAACGAACACCACCAGAGCAAGGGUGUAGCCAAAAAGCUCAGAAAUUGCGUUAAAAACUUUUUAACAUCUUUGUACGAGGGAGUAACUAAACAAAAGGUGAUUAAAGCACUCUGCUUAAAGUGUCAACAAAACUAAGUUCGUGUUCACUUGAAUGAAAUAAAAUGAAAUGAAAAAUUGUUUGUAAAUUUAAUGGAAAAUGAACAAGUUACGAGCAGUGUUACGAAAAUUGGACCUAAUCAGUUAACCUACCCAUUUAGGAUUAUGAGCAAUCCGUGAUUAAUCGGAAGGAUUAAUUGGAGUGAAAACCAGAUAUAUUUUAAUAUUAAAUAACAUUUAAUAUUUUGUUAUUAUUGUAUUAGUUAUUUAUUAACAAAUAUAUAUUUAGUAUAUCAUAAAUUCUACAGUUGUUCAUAUUUAAAGUAAUAUAAUAGUUAAUUUUAAUAAAUUUUAUAGAUAAUUUGAUUAAGAAUAAUUUAUAAGGAUUAAUCAGAUUUUAAAAAUCAUAUCGGUCGCCUACCUUGGGGGAUUGAUCGUUAAAUCAAGGGAUUUUUAGAACAAUGGAUACGAGGCAAUAGUGACUAAACACGGAUGAGCCUAAAUUUAGUGUACUCUUAGACUUUGUUCACUUGGAUGGAAUGAAAUGCUGGGAGAAUGAAAUGAUAUUUGUAUUAUAUUUUGGGGAGGUUGGAGUAAAUGUUUAUUAUUUUCAUUCCUUCUAUCAUUCUACACACCAUUCUACACCAUUUGAGUUAAAAAAUCUAACCCACAUAUUUUCAAAGGAAUGCUCGAUUCCAUUUCUUCUCUAUCUUCCCCAACAAUCCCCGUCAUGCAAAAUUCAGAUUCUCAACCUCACUCACUAUUGUCUCAUACAUUCUCCUUUCUCUUUUGUAGUUUUUCAUUCCAAGUAAACGCAACUUUAGUGUGCUUAAUUAAACAAACAUCAGCAGACAACAAUAUACAGUUCCUCAUUAUGUUUAACUUAUCUUUUAGUCAGAUCUUUAAGUUGAAAGUGCUAAAGUGACAGUAGAGACCUUGAAGCAAUUACGAGCUAAACGUUAUAAUAGCUUGAACACUCCGUACUUUAACUUUUUAUAUAUUAUAACACCAACAUAUUGGCGAUUAUUUCACACAUUCCAUAUCAGCCACACGUACCAGACAGGUGAUGCUGGCAAUUAACUGGAAAUUAUUUAGUACAUGAUGAUUAUAAUGAGAUUCAUGUUUAGCAGUUAACUGGGGCAAUGACAGCACCAACGACAGUAAGGCCCGUCUUCCAGGUGGUUCCAUCACAUCCAUUCAUCGAGAACUUGACAUCAGUAUUCUCACAGCCACAGGCGCCUGUGUUGCAGAAUUCACCAACCUUAAGUCCCACCAAAGUAUUCGUUGGCUUUGUCUUCAAAUCUUCCUUGUGCUCUUCAGUAGUGCCGUUGGGACGAGUAAGCUUAAGGGUCACUGGUCCAUUCAUGCAAAGAUUGUCGCUAAGCUCCACAGCAAGAUACACUGCGUAUUUCACUCCCUUGGUGAGGUUGUUGGCAUUGUACUUUCCGUCAAUUUGUAGCCAGCAUACUGUGAUCAGUUCAGCAACCUCCAUAGGCUGGCAGCUGUGUGUACAAAAGUCCGAAAAACCAAAUAUUAUGUAAAAAUUAUCUCAAAUCUUUGGUCUCGAAAAAUGGAAGUCAAUGGGCUGUUUGGGUUAGCUGAAAAGAAGGGACUUUUUACUUAAAUUAAAAAAGGGGAGUAGAAGUGAGAAGUAAAUAAGUUAAUAAAGAGUUUGGAAAAGAAGUAGAAGUUGUGAGAGAAAAUCUAGUGUGCCUGUUUGUUUAGCAGAAGCAGGGGCUUCUGCUUCUGACUUCUGCUUCUUGACCCGUUUGUGUAAAGAAGUAGAAGCACUUUUAAGAAGCUGAGAAUGCUAGCUUCUCUCUCACAGCUUCUACUUUUUUUCCAAACACUUUAUUCACUUAUUUACUUCUCACUUCUAAUUCACUUCUUUAUUUUAAACAAAGAAGCACUUCUUUUAAGCUUAGCCAAACGGCCCCAGUAUCUUCAGUUUCUUAAAAGUGCUUUUACUUAUUUACACAAACAGCUCAAGAAAAGCAGAAGCCAGAAGCAACUUCUGUCUCGUCAUUAAAUUUGUAGUACAAAAACACCAAAAGCUUUCCAACAUGUGCUAUACAUACCUGAUUGGGUAUGUCUUAGAAACCCAUUUCCAGUAGCGGCUGUCUGAACCCCAAACUAUUGAGAGUUCCUUUGCACUGAUAACCGCAGCGAAGGACUGGACCAAUUAAUCAACAUUAACGGAGAUAUUUCCGAAUCAAAAUAUAUCGUACAAAAUUUAUAUGACUAAUUAGACUAUAAUUAAGAACAAGUCACACGCAGGCAUACUGGUGUGGGCAUGGUGCAUGACACUAAUACUAUUGCAGAAUUAUAAUUUCAUAAUUACCUAAAUAAAAAAAUAGUGAAAAUUAACAACCAAAAUAACUUACACUCUUGUCUUUCGCAGCCUGGACACCUUGAGUCCACAAUGACACGAUGUCAUCACGCACACGCUGCACUUGAGCCAUCCUCCUUGCUAGUUGAGAAUAAGAAGUUCUUAUGUAAUUCUUGUGCUGUCGAUGCCAAUCCUCACUUCCUUGAGCUCUAUUUAUAGCGUUGCGUACGGUCCUAUUUGUGCACUUAUUGAUAGUUACACUUAAACUUAUCUACGGUAGUCGGAUGCUCUGUCCCGUUAUUCUUUCUUUUUAUAAAAUAAGUGGAGCUUGGAUAAGAGAUUCAUCAAUUAUUUAUGCCAUUUGUGCGGUACAAGCCUCACUGGAAUCUGGUAACUUUCGGUUUUGAUUGAAAUACUCAUAUAACGACGAAAUCGUGGAAGCAUCCGACUAUGAGAAAAGAAAUACAGUGACAGGAGUACUUCUGUCAGAUCUAGGAGCCUAGGACAUUACUCAGCUCGAUUAACUCUGAAAUUUAAUAUUGGCACAGAUGAACCAAACCACGAAACAUUGAGCUUCUCAGUAAUUGUUGAACCAGAAUCUGGAAACUGAAGUAGAAUAUUCGUCACAAGAUCUUCCUGUAUAAAUAAACUUAUAAUUACUUUCAAGGCUGUUACAUUUGGUAAUGAGUAAUGCUACGUACACAGAAACGGAUACAGAUUUGUGUACAGAAUGACGUGGAUUCCACCGACUUUCUCACUUCAUUUAUCAUUCAUACUCUGUCGUUGUUUUCUUUUCUUUUUUCAAUACAUCUCCGCUUCUUUUAGUUCUGUCUUCUACUUUUGAGUCUUUAUAGUAUUUUGUUAUAUAGGCAGUUUAUAUGUUUAAUCGAUUUUUGAUAAUUUUAUUAUAUAAACAAAUAUAUUUUUUUUACAUUUUGAUAUCUUUCUUUACUUCUAUUAUUCAAUAUAUUUAUCAUAUAUGUAUUAUUAUCUUGAAAUUUGACAUUUUCUUCCAUAAUUUAUUUACUGUAUUUUGUAGUGGAUUGAUCUAUUUUAUAUUCCAAAACUCUUAAAUAUCUAUUUUAUCAUUCAUAUUACCAACAUAUUUAACAUAUUCGUUAUACAUGAAAUAUUUUUGUGCGAUUAUAAUAUCUUAAAUGGCAUUUACUACUUUUAAAUUAAGAUAAUGAAUAUUCUAAAUUUUAAAACUUUAAACGUUAUUUAGAAUUUUAUAUUCAGCGAGCACUUUUGUUAUACAUGUAGUUGUGAUUUUUAAACAUUUUUUGUUCAAAUAAAAUUUUGACAACUUUUAAUUUAAAAUAUAUAUUUAUAUUUAUUUUGUAGAAGUUUCUUUCUCUUAAUUAGCUGAUAUAUUUAUACGAAACUUUUUUAUUUUAUAUUCCAAAACAAUCAAAUAUAUAUUUUAUUUUUAGAAUAGAAAAUAAACAAGUCCUCUACAGAAGUACAAUAAAUAAAUUAUUAUCUAAUAGAAGGACAAAUAUAUCAAAUUAUAAAAUUAUAAAGAUAAUAAUAAAAAAUGAAUUAGAUAAUACAAGUAAAACAAAUAUAUCAAUGUAUAAUAUAAAUAUAUUUGUAUAAAGAAUAAAAUGGUAAAAAACGAUUAAAGCAGAGGGUGUGUAUAAUAAAAAUAGCAGCAUAUAAAGACUCCAAGGCAAUAGAAAAAAAAUAAAGCAGAGGGUGGAAAGAAAAAAUCAAAGCCGAGGGAUGAAGAGUGAAUAAAGAUAAUAAAUGAAAAGAGAAUGAUAUUGGAAUCCACGUCAUUCUGACUCUGUACACAAUUCUGUAUCAGUUUCGGUGGACCUAGCAUUAUUCUUUCGUAAUAUAUGUUGGGUUUGUCUGUGCCCAUGGGUACAUGCUAAGCACGAAAUUUUAUAAGUUUGGUGAAUUUUAAUUGGUGUGGUUGGUGAAUUUGCAAGGGGUCCACCAUUAUAAAGAAAUAAGAGCCAAUCAAAAUCACUCAAACUUAAGAAUUUUAGUGCUUAGUGUGUGCCCCUAGGCACACACUAGAAAAACCGAUAUAUGUUUGUGAAUAUAUAAUGAAGUAGUAGCCAACACUACAAAAAACUGUCCUGUUUACGACGGAAAUUAAGCCUGAAAUCUGUCAUAAUUCCGAAGUUAUGACAGAAAAAUUCCGCCGUUUUUUAUCGAUUAGUAAGUUUAAAACCAUUCACAAAUUUCGGUAUACUUUGCAAGUUACAUAAGGCGUCACAAGUUUCACUAGAUGGCCUCCAUAAUUUCACUAUUAUAAUGGCAAACUUUACGACGCACAAUUCAUCGUAAGAUAGCUUUUUAUGACAGAAUUUUCAUUGUAAGUUGCGUAUUAUUCUAUUGGCAGAUGGGACCCACUUAUAUGAAAUUUACGACGAAAAUUUGAAUUUGUGACCAAUUUUUGAACUUUUGACUCGAGCAAAAAGACGGAAAAAAUCCGUCGUAAUUGGACCAUUUACGACGGAUUCAGUGUUAAAAAUCCGUCAUAAAUGGGUUUAUUUGUUGCAGUGAAUAUAUAGUUGCCCAUAAGGAGACUGAUGAAAAAGGAGUGGUACAUUUAGGUCCAAGAUUUAUAUUCUUGAUUGCUAGAAAUAAUUCGGAUGCUAUUUUAUUUUUAAUGAGUUAAGGUGGUGACCGAUAAAAUUUAAAUUCAAAUACUUUGGGACGUGGAAUAGUACUUUUUUUUUUUUUUAUUAAAAGUUAAUCCUUAUUAAAUCAUCAAAUGUUAGACAAUAGUGUCUCCGACAAGCAUAAUGGAGGAGACGAAAUAACAAUGAAGCUACUAAGCUUAUAAGAAUUUUAGCCAUCUAAUUAUCUGCUGCCUUAUUUGAAGGAUUUCUAACAUAUCUGGGAGUCACUUUCUAUAAUAUAUUCAGCUAUUAGUUCAGCAACCUCCAGAGCCUGGGAGCUGUGUGUACAAAAGUCCCAAAAACCAAAUAUUAUGUAAAACUAGUUGAGAAGCCGCGUUGCGGCGGCCUAUAAAAAUUAUAUUAAUGGCUCAAUAUUAAUAUUUGUAAAAUAAAAUAAUUUUGUGUUUGUCUAUAAAAAGUAUAUUAAUGUUUCAAAAUUAAUAUUUGUAGGAUAAAAUAAAUUUUAUAUUAUAAAAAUCUUGAUGUAAUACCAAUACUAAUAGAUAAAAUUGCAAAAUUGGACUAUAAUUCAUGAUGAAAAAAUGAAAAUAAAUUUAUACACGUAAUUAACAAUUUAAAACACGGCGAAUAUUAAUUUUAUUUGUGUUUUUUUAAAAGUAAUCAUGUUCUUACAUUGUCACUUUACUCCAAUUUUUUUGGAUUGAUUGUGCACAAACACGUCUAACUUAAAUCUGUGAGAUAGCGGUGUAUAACUACCCUUGCUUGUAACAAACUUUAAAUUUUAAUACUGUAUAAACAGUCUUACUUAAAAGUUGCUUGAAUAGAGCAAACAGAUAAUGCAUGAAUAAUUUUUUUUCAAUGUAUACAAAAUAAAUCAUAUAAAAAUUAACAACAUAUUCGAAGAACAAAAACAAACGUUAUAAAAUAAUAACCAACAAACAUACAUCACUAACAGUUAAUUUAUUGAUAUCAUCCAUCAAUAUCAUGUCAAGACUAUAUUCUUUUCCCGUGUUUUGAUUUGUCGACUCCAACAUAGCGGUCUAUAACUACCUUUGCUUACAACAACCUUUAUUUUUUUAAUACUGUAUAAACAGCCUUCACUUAUCGUUGCUGAAGAACGGCACUACCGAGUUAGAAAUCGAGCAAGAGAAUUAUCACCAAAGAGAGGUAAGGUUGUGGUAUUGAGAGAAAGAAUGUUGUGUUUAGAUGAUCUAAAACCCUACAAUCUAUAGGGGAUUUAUAGGUGCAGAGAGACCUGUGUGCUACUCUUUUCCAUAAUUAAAUAAUAUGAAACAAAAUCAGAUUAAAACUUUCAAGCUACUGUAUUCCAUAAAUAAUCUGAAACAAAAUUAGAUUCUGAAACUUGCUUCCAAUAUACCCGAAACUACUAAUCUGAAACAAAAUCAGAUUAAAACUUUCAAGCUACUAUAUUCCAUAAAUAAUCUGAAACAAAAUCAGAUUCUGAAACUUGCUUCUAAUAUACCCAAAACUAAAAAAGGUAGUUCUAGUUUUUGAUAUUUUUCAUCCAAAAAUUCCAGAAAAUUAGAAAAAUAGAACGGAGCGAUGUGAGAGACGCCACCUACACGCCCCUCGCUUCUCCUUUAUAUAAGUAUAUUGAUUUAUCUCAAAUCUUUGGUCUCGAUAAAUGGAAUUCAAUGUCCAGUCAUUAAAUUCCAACAUGUGCUAUAUAUACAGACCUGAUUGGGUAUUUCUUAGAAACCCAUUUCCAGUCAUAACCGCAGCGCACCUUACGCUCUUGUCUUUCACAGCCUGGACACCUUGAGUCCACAAUGAUAAGAUGUCAUCACGCUACACUUGAGCCAUCUUCUUGCUAGUUGGGAAUAAGAAGUUCUUGUGCAAUUCUUGUGCUGUCGAUGCCAAUACUCACUUCCUUGAGCUGUAUUUAUAGGGUUUCGGACGGUCCUAUUUGUCCACUUAUUGAUAGGUACACUUAUCCUUAUCUGCAUGUGGUAGGAGGAUGCUCUGUCUCAUUAUUCUUUCUUGUUAUUAAAUAAGUGGAGCUUGGACAUUACUCAACUCGAUCAACUCUGAAAUUUGAUAUUGGCACAGAUGAACAACCACGAAACAUUGAGCUUCUCAGUAAUUGUUGAACCAGAAUUUUCUGGAAACUGAACUAGAAAAUUCGCCACAAGAUCUUCCUGUAUAAAUAAACUUAUAAUUACUUUCAAGUUUCAAGGCUGCUAAUUAAAUUUCAUAAUAUAUGUUUGUGAAUAAAUUAUAUUGAAUUAGUAGCCAAGGAGAAGUUUAAUUGAUCAUGGGGUGAAAUGGGGUCUGGGUACAUCCACUAAUUUCAAAUAACGGCUACAAUGAGCCUACAACUUUAGACAAGACUACAAUGGAAGAAUGAAAUCUGUUACAAACGGAAUUGCAUGUGUCAUUUUUCACGGAUUUGGUACUUUUUUUUUGAGAAAUUCACGGAUUUAGUACUUGAAAUCCGUCAAAAAAGAAGGAUGUAUAGUAGCGCAGCCGCAGAACUAUUCAUGCAACUACAAUUAGAGAACACCGAUUCUACAAGUCUAUCACUCUUCUCGAUUACUAGGUAUAUAGAGUUGUGUAGUUAACAUAACUGCUGUAUGAAAUUUAACACCCUCCCUUGAUCGGGUCGAAAAGAAUUCCGUGCAAGAUAAAUUUUAAAAAAGGCGAUAUAAUUCUAACGUCAUUGAAAAUACUUUUGCAGACACUCAUUAGAGGAAAUUAAAUUUCAACGGUUUUUGGGUACUUGUAGUAGAAUUAGAUGUACAGUACAUGUUUUCUCGUAAGAAUUUGUCCUGCAAACAGUCCCUUUUCACCGUUAUUUCUAUAUGGUUUAUUAACAAGUGAAAUUUUUCAGUGGACUAUGUAUGGAAUAUCAAGAUUUGGUUAUUUUUACAUAAUUUUUUUAUUUAAAAAUAAUUAUUAUUAUACUAAUAUGAAAGGACUUCUAUAUUGAUAUAAUGAUUAUCCCACCAACAUAAUUACAUUGUCAACAAAAAUAUCCACUUUAAAUUUUAAAACGCAAACAAUUUAAAUUAUGAAACAACACCCUUAUUUGGUUAUCACAGUAUUUUUUUAUUUGAUGAUAAUUAUUAUUAUACCUUUAUGAAAAUAUUUUCAUAUUGAUGAGGAUUUUUUAAUAUAAUGAUUAUCCCACUAACAGAUUACAUUGUUAACAAAAUCAGUCCUUUAUAAUUUAAACGUUAAACAAUUUUAUUUAUGAAAUAACUUUAUAAAAUUUCUAUCAUGUUUCACAAUUCAAUAAAAUAGGGAGUCUAUAUUAAUAUUAAUAAACCAAAAUUUGGUUAACAUAAUUUUUUUAUGAAUAACAAAAUAACUAUUAUUAUACUAUUAUUAUUAUAAUAGUAUCAGUAGACUAGUUUAAAAAAAAAAAAAGUAUGAGUAGACUUUAUAUAUUGACCAAAAUUUUGGUAUGUAACGAUUAGGACACCGACAUAAUUACAUAAUUAUCUACAAAACUAUUUAUCUUAAUUUUUUAAACUUAAAUAGUUCAAUUAACGAAACAAAUCUAAUUUAGUUAUUGACAUAUAUAUAUAUAUAUAUAUAUAUAUUAUUUAAUAUUAAUAAUUAUUAUAUUACUAUGAAAAGUCUUUCAUAUUGAUCACAAUUUUAUAAUAUUUUUGAUUUAAUAAUAAUAAAUAUUAUACUAUAAAAAAAACUUCCAUGUUGAUUAGAAGUUUAUAAUGUAAUAAUUAUACUACAACAGGUUGCAUUACCUAUAAAAAUAUUAGUCUUAAUUUUUAAAACUCAAACAAUUUAAUUAAUGAAAUGACUCGAAUUUAAUUAUCAUGAUAUAAUAAUUAUAUAAUAUUACUAUGCAAAUAUUUUCAUAUUGAUCGGUAUUUUAUAAUGCAACAAUUAUCUCAACAACAGAAUCACAUUGCCAACAAAUCUAUUUAUUUUAAUUUUUUAAAACUCAAACAACUUAAUUUAUGAAAAAACUUUAUAGAAUUCUUAUGACGUGUCAUAAUAAAAAUGAAUAAAGAGUCCAUAUUAUAUUAUAAACCAAAUUUAUAUUAAUAUAAAAUUUAAUUCAACACUUGUCUUUCGAAAUAUUGCAAUAAAGACCAAAAAAGUUGGGGUAAUAAUGCGAUGACUCCGUGGAGAAAAAAAAGGCACUAAACAAUUGUCCAUGUUAUAGAUUUAUAGCCAUACAAUGCAAGGACAGAAAAUCACAACAUUGCUAAAAAAAAGAAGAGAACAAAUUACUUUUGAAUUAGAUUUAUUUAGCUUAAACCCUCUCUUACAAUUAUAUAUUAAUUUGUCAAAUUCUAAAGGAACUCUAAUUAAUUAAUAUUACACACACGUCUAAAAUAACUAUGAAUUAAAAAAAUUUAAAUUAUACUACAGACUGAAUACCUACAAACCACCUUAUAAUAUACGUUGGUUCUGAAUAUAUAUUUCAACUCUUUAGAAAUCAUAAAACAACAUAAUGAUUUGUUAAAAUAAAACACAUAAUUCUGAAUUAAAUUCAUAUCAUAACUGUAUGCGAGAAUUAUUUUUAGAAAAAAAAUAAUUUAAAAUAUGAUCAAAUGUUCAUCACAGAAAAUUAUAUAUAUAAAGAUUAAUAGUUUAAAUAUGUAUAUUAAAAUCAUUAUAUUUCUAAUAAAUUUCAAAAUUUUAAUUUUUGUAUAAUUUUCACCAGUGCAUAUUUUUCUAGCAGGAUGGAUCCAUUUUAUUUUCAUGUUGUUAGGGAAUAUAAAGUGAAUGUUGAUUAAUUCAUUUGAAUAGUCAUGUGGUAAUAUUGGUAAAGUGUGAAGAAAUUGUUUUUGGCAAGAAACUGUUCGAUAGAAUGCCUAUAACAUGUGUUGUUUGGCCGAGUAAAAAUUACGGGCCUGUAAAAGCACUGUAUUUGAAGGAGGCGCUAAAUGUUUUUAUUGAUAGGAAAAGAAGUGGGAUGAGGUCUAAUCAAGUUGGAAGAACUCCUGGAGUAGAAGCAGUGGAGUGUGGAAAACGUUUAUAGUGAAAUUUUUAGAAAAUAUAAAGGGACUGUUUGGGUGACUUUAAAAUUAAAUGUUUUUUGUUUAAAGUAGAGAAGUGAAGUAGAAGUUAGAAGUAAAUUAAGAGUUAUGAGUGUUUGAAAAAUAAGUAGAAGUCAGCUUCGAUUCUUGACUUUUUACUUUUUACGUAAACUGUACGAAUAAGUGCUUCUAAUUUAUAUCCCGAGCCGGACUUAAAAGUUAUAGCCAAACACCCCAAUAUAACGACGUCUUUGCUUCAAAAUCGUAUUUUUGUGAUACUUUCUGAUAACCCUUUCAUUCAUCUAGUACUUCUAUAUGUUCCAGAUUCUCUCACUGUCACUGUACUGUUGUAAUUUUAUUGAUGAUUUUUUCUAGACAUAUUUAUUUAAUAUUCAUUUCCAUUUUUGUUUGGUGAUUUUUUAUUUUUACAAUUUGGGUCAUGACAAGUUCGAGAUUCUAGGGUCUAAUGCAUUGGAUGUUCAUCAUCUUUAAUAAAAUCCGUUCUCAAAGUCCCAGGUACUUGUUUAUGGCGUAUCACUUACUCUCUCCGUCCCAAUCAAUUCUAUACAGUUUCCUUUUUGGGAUGUCCCAUCAUUUCUAUACAUUCCCAAAAUAGCAACUUUUUAUAAUAUAAAACAUUAUUACACCCACUACAUUCUCCCACUAUCUCCAUUAUAUAAUAAUAAAAACACUAUUACACCCACUACUUUACUCCACUAUCUCAAAUCUAUUAUUAAAAAAUAUAUGGGUCCCACCACUUUACCAACUUUCCAUAUAACUCUACUCAUUUCUUACACUUUUUCUUGGUCUCCGUGUCCGAUCCCAAUGUAUAUAAUUCAUUGGGACGGAGGGAGUAUAUAUUUAAACACCAACAUAUUGGCGAUUAUUUCACACAUUCCACAUCAGCCAAACCAGAUAGGUGAUGUUGGCAAUUGGAAAUUAUUUAGUUUAUCAGAUGCAUGUUUACCAGACUGGGGCAAUGACAGCACCAAUGACAGUAAGGCCAGUCUUCCAGGUGGUUCCAUCACAUCCAUUCAUCGAGAACUUGACAGUAUUCUCACAGCCGCAUGCUGAGUUGAUGAAUUCACCAACCUUAAGUCCCACCAAUGUAUUCUUUGGCUUGGUCUCCAAAUCUUCCUUGUGCUCUUCAGUAGUGCGGUUGGGACGAGUAAGCUUAAGGGUCACUGGACCGUUCAUGCAAAGAUUGUCGCUAAGCUCCACAACAAAAUACACUCCGUAUUUCACUCCCUUUUUCAGGUUGCUGGUAUCGUACUCUCCGUCAAUUUGGAGCCAGCAUACUGUAAUUAGUUUAGCAACCUCCAGAGCCUCGCAGCUGUGUGUACAAAAGUCCCAAAAACCAAAUAUUACGUAAAAAUUUAUCUCAAAUCUUUGGUCUCGAAAAAUGAAAGUCAAUGUCCAGUCAUUAAAUUCUGUAGUAUAAAAACACCUACGCGUUCCAACAUGUGCUAUAUAUACAUACCUGAUUGGGUAGGUCUUAGAAACCCAUUUCCAGUAGCGGCUGUCUGAACCCCAGACUAUUGAGAGUUCCUUUGCGGUGAUAACCGCAGCGCAGGACUAAAACAUUUAAUUAACAACGGAGAUAUUUCAGAAUUAAAUUAUAUCAUACAAAAUUUAUAUGGCUAAUUAGACUAUAAGAACAAGUCACACGCAUGACAAUAAUACUAUUGCAGAACUAUAAUUUCAGUAGCUUCCAUAAAAAGGUACCGAAUAUUAACAGCCAAAACAACUUACACUCUUGUCUUUCACAGCCUGGACACCUUGAGUCCACAACGACACGAUGUCAUCACGCUGCAAUUGAGCCAUCUUCCUUGCUAGUUGAGAAUAAGCAGUACUUGUGUAAUUCUUGUGCUGUCGAUGCCAAUCCUCACAGCUUCCUUGAGCUCUAUUUACAGCGUUGAGUACGGUCCUAUUUGUGCACUUAUUGAUAGUUAUACUUAACCUUAUCUACGGUAGUAGGAUGCUCUGUCCUGUUAUUCUUUCUUUUUAUUAAAUAAGUGGAGCUUGGAUAAGAGAUUCAUCAAUUAUUUAUGCCAUUUGUGCGGUAGAAGCCUCACUGGAAUCUGGUAACUUUCGGUUUUGAUUGAAAUACUCAUAUAACGAUGAAAUUGUGGAAGCAUCCUACUAUGAAAAAAGAAAUACAUACAGUGACAGGAGUACUUCUGUCAGAUCUCGGACAUUGCUCAACUCGAUUAACUCUAAAAUUUAAUAUUGGCACACAUGAACCAAACCACAAAAAACUGAGCCUCUGAUGAAUCGUUGAACCAGAAUAUUCUUGAAACUGAACUAGAAAAUUCGUCACAAGAUCUGCCUGUAUAAAUAAACUUAUAAUUACUUUCAAGGCUGUUAAAUUUCAUAAUAUAUGUUUGUGAAAAAAUAUUCUAAAUCCAGAAAAUUGACUAGCACAGGCUAUUUCCGACCAUUAUUGGUAACCUUUUUGCCAAGAAAACCGACCAAAUUAAGUUAUUUCUGACUAAACACAUAAUUUAAGAAAUGAACCACAUUUCCGACCGCUAGUGUAUGAAAUCGGUCGGUAAUGAUUUCACGGUCGAAAAUGAAUUUUUAGUUUGUUGGUUUUAAAACAGAGAAUCCCCAAAUGAACCCUGAAAUACCUUCCGACUGACUCAUUUCCAACCAACUCAGUUGGUCGGUUUUAUAAUAGGGGCUCCCCAAUUGAACCCUGAAUUUCGUUCAGACCUUAUCAUUUCCGACCAACUUUAUUGGUUGGUUUUAAAACAAGCCCCCUGAAUGAACCCUGAAUUUAUUUAUGGCAACCUCCAGUCACUUUUAGGUCUAUUCACAUGUAUGCCAAGUUCUAAGAAGAUUUUAAAACAUUACCGACUAAAGAUAGCGGUCGGUCGUCGGUCGGUUAUAAAUAUCAUUUCCGACCGAUCUGUUAUUUACAACCAGGUUUUAAAGGACCAACACAAUCGGUCGGUCGGUGGUCGGUUACGAGGUGAAAACCGACCAACUCUCUUUAUUUUCGGUCGGCGGUCGGAAAUGCCCGUUUUUCUUGUAGUUAUAUCAACUUCCAUCGGAACACAAUAUCUUACACCUUUAAGUCAUAAAUCACUGUUUUAAACUUUCCAAACAGCUUCCAAGUAUCAUAUUAAGAUUAUCCGAUGGACCUACUCGAAACAGUAUAAAACAUAUACAAACGAACACCACCAGAGCAAGGGUGUAGCCAAAAAGCUCAGAAAUUGCUCUAAAAACUUUACAACAUCUCGUACAAGGGAGUAACUAAACAAAAGGUGAUUAAAACACUGUGCUUAAAGUGUCAACGAAACAAAGAUUGUGUACACUUGAAUGAAAUAAAAUGAAAAAAAAGAAUGAAAUGGAAAAUUGUAAAUAAAUUUAAUGGAAAAUGAACAAGUUACGAGUAGAGUUACGAAAAUCGGACCUACUCAUUUAACCUACCGAUUUAGGAUUAUCAGCAAUCUGCGAUUAAUCGGAAGGAUUAAUUGGAGUGAAAACUAGAUAUAUUUUAAUAUUAAAUAAUAAUAAAUAUUUUGUUAUUAUUAUAUUAGUUAUUUAUCAACAAAUAUAUAUUUACUAUAUCAUAAAUUCUACAGUUGUUCAUAUUUAUAGUAAUAUAAUAGUUAAUUUUAAUAAAUUUUAUAUAUACUUUGAUUAAGAAAAUUUUAUAAGGAUUAAUCAGGUUUAAAAAAUCAAAUUAGUCGCCUACCUUGGGGGAUUGAUCGUUAAGUCAAGGGAUUUUUAGAACAAUGGUUAUGAGACAAUAGUGACUAAACACGAAUGAGCCUAAAUUUAGUGUGCUCUUAGACUUUGUUCACUUGGAUGGAAUGAAAUGAUGAGAAAAUGAAAUGAAAUUUGUAUUAUAUUUUGGGGAGGUUGGAGUAAAUGUUUAUAAUUUUCAUUCAUUCAAUCAUUUACACACCAUUCUACACCAUUUGAGUUAAAAAAUCUAACCACAUAUUUUGAAAGGAAUGCUGAUUCCAUUUCUUCUAUAUUUUCCCAACAAUCCCCGUCAUGCGAAAUUCAGAUUCUCAACCUCACUCACUAUUGUCUCAUACAUUCUCCUUUCUGUUUUUGUAGUUUUUCAUUCCAAGUGAACGCAACUUUAGUGUGCUUAAUUAAACAAACAUCAGCACAAAACAAUAUACAGUUCCUCAUUAUGUUUAACUAAUCUUUUAGUAAGACCUUUAAGUUAAAAGUGCUAAAGUAACAGUAGAGACCUUGAAGCAAUUACGAGCUAAACGUUAUAAUAGCCUGAACACUCCGUACUUUAACUUUUUAUAUAUUAAAACACCAAGAUAUUGGCGAUUAUUUCACACAUUCCAUAUCAGCCACACGUACCAGACAGGUAAUGUUGGCAAUUAAUUGGAAAUUAUUUAGUACAUGAUGAUUGUGAGCCACUACAAGAAAAACAGACUCAGACAACACCUUUCAGACAACACAACGAAAAAAAACCGUUGCGAAAAAAGAACACACAACGGUUGCUUUUUUGACCUCGACUAUCCAUUGUCUAAACCAGGACUCAUACUACGGUUUUUAAAAGCGUUGUUAAAAAAUAUGUAAAAAAGUUUGUUUGACACAACAGUUUAUAAAGACCAUUGUUUUUCAGAAAUUCACACAAUUGUCUAUAAAACUGUUGUUAAAUAUUAUACAACGGGUUUCCAAAACCAUUGUUAUUUGCAAAGUCAGACAAUGUUGUCAAGUAACCGUUGUAAUUAAUAAACAACGGUUGGGGAAACAGUUGUGUUUGUACAUAUUACACAAUAUUCCACUAAACCGUUGUUAAAGAAUGCACAACGAUUUUAAUAAUGAGUUGUUGUAUUCAAAUUCACACAACCGUUUUUGGUAGCAUUGUUCUUUAAACCUCGCACAACAGUUUGGCUUAAUUAUAUGUAUUGUAUUGUUGUAUCAUUUUAACUCAUACAACAGAUGAGUAUAUAGAAACCGUUGUCUAUUAGAGACACUAAAAGACAAAAAUUACCUUUUUAUAAUAAGACAAAAUUUACAAUUGACUAUUUUUGUUAAAAAAACAUAUAAAACAAACAUAAAAAAAAUUAAUUUUUUUUAUACAUGACUAAUAUUGGUAGUUCUUAACAUCCGUACGGUUAGAUCAUCAAAAAAAAUAUUUAUAAAUUAUUACGGAACUAAUCUUAUAGAUAACAAAAUUUCUAACCAGUGCUUCCUAAAUUGUAAACAUAAAACACAUACUAAGAGGGGUGUAUUGGAUUGGGAUUUUAAAGAUUUUUUUGCAUUCAUGAAAUCCGAGGGUAUUCGAUUGGGAUUGUUUGAAAUCCAUUAAAAUCUUGAGGUAUUCAAUUGGGAUUUUAAAUUAUGCUUUAAAAUCCGAUGGUAUUCAAUUGGGAUUGUUUAAAAUCCAUUAAAAUCUGAUGGUAUUCAAAUGCUGAUGGAUUUUUUUUCAUUUCAUAAAAUGAUGGAUUUUGUGGCAUUCUUCAGUGUAUUUUAAGUUUUUUGAAAUCCCACCAAAUUCAAUGGGAUUUUGAAGCAUUGUACCUAAAUCCUAUCAACUCUGCGACAUUUCAUCAAGAAUCCGCACAAAAUCAAAAUCUCAUACAAUCCAUUAAAAUCCAUAGACUAAAAACAAUGCAUUAAAAUCCCAAUCGAAUACACCCCCGUAAUACUCACGUCCGAACUACAAAAUUAUCUUCUUGUUACAAAUGAACAAUACAAAUUUGCAUAUAUGUUUAAUACAAAUAUAAUUUUUAGAUAAAAAACAUAAAAAUAAGGAUUUUUCAAGGAUAAGAGAAUCUUUAACUCUUAAAAAAAAUAAUUUAUUAGACAACUGUUUUUUUCCAAUAAAUUGUUGUUUACACUACUUACAUACAACGAGUUUUGUUGAAAACGUUGUUUGAGCUUAUUUUGGACAAUAAUUUCUCUUACAAAAAUUCUCAUGGGACAAUAACCAUUGUCUAUUUACAAGAAAAUGUGGCACCACCUGAUUGGUGGAAAAUAUUUCACCUGGAUUGCUUACUUGGCAAAAUGUCACCAAUUGAUUGACUUCACCUGGAUCACUUAGUUGGCAUAAUAAGAGCCCUUGACUUUCUGAAGGUGUCACACAACGGUUUUUUAAGAAAACUGUUGUAUAAUAUCUAAUUCUUAAAUUUUUUAAUUUUAUAAUGACUUUGAAAUUGAUUUUUAAAAUUUUUAAAUUUGAAUAAUAAAAUAAUAUGACAGUCAAAAUUUAAUAAAUUUUAUCAUUUAAAAUUUGACCAUGGCUAUUAUAAACUCUUAGAUCAACCUGAACUAGGUCUAUCAUAAUCAAACAUGAUUACGCUCGAGAGCGCCCAAUGAGCGCCUUGGGAGCGCCCUAUAAGCGCCCCAGGAAAAAUUUUCAUUAACCAGCUCUACGCCUCUACCUCUCUAGAGAAACACAUUCUCUGUCUCUUCUCUCUCAAACAAACUCUCUCAUUUUCUUCACUGUGGAACAAAUUCCAGAUCUUUCUUCUCAGUCUCUUCGUCUCGUCGGCUGGGUCCGGAGCGCCCGAGAAGCGCCCUGGGAGCGCCCCAGGAGCGCCAAGUGCGCCCGAGGUGCGCUUGAGGACCUCACCAGCGUCGACCUGGGCACCAAGGAUGCCCUAAAUCGACCUGGGUGAGGUCGAAAAAUGACUUGGGCGUCAAAAAACACCCAACGCCCGAGAGCGCCAGAGAAGCGCCCUGGGAGCGUCCUAUGAGCGCCCCAGGAGCGCCAAUAGCGCCCGAGGUGCGCCUGAGGACCUCACCAGCGUCGACCUGGGCACCAAGGAUGCCCUAAAUCGACCUGGGUGAGUUCGAAAACUGACUUGGGCGUCAAAAAACACCCAACGCCCGAGAGCGCCCGAGAAGCGCCCUGGGAGCGUCCUAUGAGCGCCCCAGGAGCGCCAAUAGCGCCCGAGGUGCGCCUGAGGACCUCACCAGCGUCGACCUGGGCACCAAGGAUGCCCUAAAUCGACCUGGGUGAAGGGCAACAUACAUACUAAGUAAGAGAUAAGGGAGAGAGACAAAUAGAGAGAGAGCGACUGAGAGAUAGUAACAGUCAGAGGGAGGGACAGAGUGAGAGAGGGAGACACAUAGAGAGAUCGGGAAAUAUAUUCUAAGAGAGUGGAGAUGGAGGGAAGGAGGGAGAGAGAGAUUUUUAGGACAUUCACUGAGAAAGCAAUGUCUAAAAUGUGAGUAUUAAUUUAUGAUGGGUCCUCAUUAAUGUCUGGGCUAAUACAUUUUGCCUUUAGAAAGCCUUUCCCCUUGCUGAUUUAUCUUUAUUUGUAUAACCCUGCAGUCAUAAUCUUUAUUUUGGUGCGCAUUAUUAAUUUUGGAGUUGCUUUCUGCGCUGACAUUUUUAUGAUUGCAGUCAGAAACUCAAUUUUCCUACUAGAGCUAUGUUCUGUUUCAUGACACAAAAUAGCUUACAAUUAGUGUAUGAGGGCCUUCGAUUUGGGUCCUUCGAUUUGCAGUCUAGAGGGCCUGGUUGGCAAGUUGAGACUGGUAGAAUGGACAACUUAACUACUAGCAAAACUACAACAAACAAUAACAUUCCACCCCAACUUCCGAUUAUAUCAGCACACGUAUAUGCCUAUGUAUUAUUUUACCAUAAUGGCGAGUUCUCUCGAUAUUGCUUGAUUAAUUUGCAUAACUUGUCUUUGCUGCAGGUAUUACAAUCUCGCACAUGCAGUGAAUGAAAGAGUUUUAAGGCAGCCCUCAAUGCUACAAGCUGGAAUCUUGAGAGAUUAUCAUAUUGUAUGUUCCAUUUUUCUGAGAGACUGAUCUAAAUAAAACUUAUUCUUUGGUUUAUUGUCUUAUGUCAUUGCGAGUAGCUCUUUCUUGUUAACAUAGCAACAAGUAGAUCCUUGCCAGUCAUGUGUAGUAUUAUGGAACAUUUGAUUUUUGAUUUGUUGAUGCAGAUAAGGACAACUACGUCAACUACCACAAGAGAUUAAUUGAUUUAGUAAAUAUCAGACGGUUAUGAGGACGACAACACCAUGGGUAGUGCCCAGCCAGCUUAUACUUCAAUGAGAAAGUAUGUAAGGUACUAUAGAGACUUUGUGAUUGGGCUUAACAAAUCCUUGGUGGAUGAUUCCAGUAUUGAGAUAUGCAUGCUUGUACAAGGUUAUUUGUAGCCAUUUGAAAUGUUAUUAAUUUAGUUUGUACAAAUUAUUUUAAUCUUUUGUUAGGCAAAGAUUUGACUUUCAGUUACUUGUAUAAAUUGUAUAAGACAAUAGUUUGAUUUCUAAAGUUUUUACCAUCUCAACAAUUGUACAAAUAAAGUUCACACAACUGUUGACUCUAUUAAUGCAAGAAAACACAUUAUUUUAUCGAAAUUGUUGUGGGGAGGGAAGAAAGACAAUACUUUGUCUCAAGGGAACUAUUGAAUAACAAAUUGUUUUAAAACAUUCUUUUAUAACUAAACCGUUGAAUGGAGUAAUUUCAAACAAUAUUUUUUUUUUUGGUAUUAUUGACUAUAGGAAAGAAGGACAAUCUUUCGUCUCAGGGGAACUAUUGUCUGAAACAUAUCAGACAUGUGGUAUGCAUUUAAGAAACGCAUGAAUAACACAAGGUCUUACAACACUCUGUUACAUCAAAACAGUUGUGUAUACCAACCUUCCAACAACAUUUUCUCGUAUUUGCGUUGUUGUCUUGCAGUAAGACAGACAACGAUUGCGUACCGUUGUCUCAUCCCAGUAUCAGACGGCAUCUCAAUACUCAACGGUAUUUGAGGGUUUCAGACAACGGGUAAUUUCCGUUGUCUGAGAUUCAUGUUUAGCAGUUAACUGGGGCAAUGACAGCACCAACGACAGUAAGGCCCGUCUUCCAGGUGGUUCCAUCACAUCCAUUCAUCGAGAACUUGACAGUAUUCUCACAGCCACAGGCGCCUGUGUUGCAGAAUUCACCAACCUUAAGUCCCACCAAAGUAUUCUUUGGCUUGGUCUUCAAAUCUUCCUUGUGCUCUUCAGUAGUGCCGUUGGGACGAGUAAGCUUAAGUGUCACUGGACCGUUCAUGCAAAGAUUGUCGCUAAGCUCCACAGCCAAAUACACUCCGUAUUUCACUCCCUUGAUGAGGUUGUUGGCAUUGUACUUUCCGUCAAUUUGUAGCCAGCAUACUGUGAUCAGUUCAGCAACCUCCAGAGACUGGCAGCUGUGUGUACAAAAGUCCGAAAAACCAAAUAUUAUGUAAAACUUUAUCUCAAAUCUUUGGUCUCGAAAAAUGGAAGUCAAUAAUGUCCAGUCAUUAAAUUUUGUAGUACAAAAACACCAAAAGCUUUCCAACAUGUGCUAUACAUACCUGAUUGGGUAGGUCUUAGAAACCCAUUUCCAGUAGCGGCUGUCUGAACCCCAAACUAUUGAGAGCUCCUUUGCACUGAUAACCGCUGCGAAGGACUGGACCAAUUCAUCAACAUUAACGGAGGUAUUUCCGAAUCAAAAUAUAUCGUACAAAAUUAUAUGACUAAUUAGACUAUAAUUAAGAACAAGUCACACGCAGGUAUACUGGUGUGUGCAUGGUGCAUGAAAAUAAUACUAUUGCAGAAUUAUAAUUUCAAUAGCUUAAUUAGUAUAUAAAAAGGUACCGAAAAUUAACAACCAAAACAACUUACACUCUUGUCUUUCACAGCCUGGACACCUUGAGUCCACAACGACACGAUGUCAUCACGCUGCAAUUGAGCCAUCUUCCUUGCUAGUUGAGAAUAAGAAGUUCUUGUGUAAUUCUUGUGCUGUCUAUGCCAAUCCUCACUUCCUUGAGCUGUAUUUAUAGCGUUUCAGACGGUCCUAUUUGUGCACUUAUUGAUAGUUACACUUAACCUUAUCUAUGGUAGUAGGAUGCUCUGUCCCGUUAUUCUUUCUUUUUAUUAAAUAAGUGGAGCUUGAAUAAGAGAUUCAUCAAUUAUUUAUGCCAUUUGUGCGGUAGAAGCCUCACUGGAAUCUGGUAACUUUCGGUUUUGAUUGAAAUACUCAUAUAACGAUGAAAUUGUGGAAGCAUCCUACUAUGAAAAAAGAAAUACAUACAGUGACAGGAGUACUUCUGUCAGAUCUCGGAAAUUGCUCAACUCGAUUAACUCUGAAAUUAAAUAUUGGCACACAUGAACCAAACCACAAAAAACUGAGCUUCUCAUGAAUCGUUGAACAAGUAUAUUCUGGAAACUGAACUAGAAAAUUCGUCACAAGAUCUGCCUGUAUAAAUAAACUUAUAAUUACUUUCAAGGCUGUUAAAUUUUAUAAUAUAUGUUCGUGAAAAAAUAUUCCUAAUCCAGAAUACCAACUACCACAGGUUGUUUCUGACCAUUAUUGGUAACCUUUUUGCCCAGAUACCGACCAAAUUAAGUUAUUUCUAAGUAAACACAUAAUUUAAGAAAUGAACCACAUUUCCGACCGCUAGUGUAUGAAAUCCGGUCGGUAAUGACUUCACGGUCGGAAAUGAAUUUAGUUUGUUGGAUUUAAAACAGCGAAUCCCCAAAUGAUCCUGCAAUACCUUCUGACUGAAUUUUUUUUAAAAAAAAACCCUUCUGACCGACUCAUUUCCGACCAACUCAGUUGGUCGCUUUUAUAAUAGGGGCUCCCCAAUUGAACCUUGAAUUUCGUUUUGACCGAAUCAUUUCCGACCAACGUUAUUGGUUGGUUUUAAAACAGGGCCCCAAAUGAACCCUAAAAUUUAUUUCCGACCGCCCCUAGUUGCUUUUAGGUCUAUUCAAGUGUAUGCCAGGUUCUAAGAAAAUUUUAAAACAUUACCGACUAAAGAUAGCGGUCGGUUGUCGGUCGGUUAUAAAUAUCAUUUCCGAUCUUUUAUUUACAACCAGGUUUUAAAGGACCAACACAAUCGGUCGGUCGGUGGUCGGUUACGAGUUGAAAACCGACCAACUCUCUUUAUUUCCGGUCGGCGGUCGGAAAUGCCCGCUUUUCUUGUAGUGAUAGCAACUUCCAUCGGAACACAAUAUCUUACACUUUUUAAGUCAUAAAUCACUGUUUUAAACUUUCCAAACAGCUUCCAAGUAUCAUAUUAAGCUUAUCUGAUGGCCCUUGUACUCGAAACAGAAUAAAACAUAUACAAACGAACACCACCAGAGCAAGGGUGUAGCCAAAAAGCUCAGAAAUUGCGUUAAAACCUUUUUAACAUCUUUGUGCGAGGGAGUAACUAAACAAAAGGUGAUUAAAGCACUCUGCUUAAAGUGUCAACGAAACUAAGUUCGUGUACACUUGAAUGAAAUUGAAAAAAAGAAUGAAAUGGAAAAUUGUUCGUAAAUUUAAUGGAAAAUGAACAAGUUACGAGCAGUGUUACGAAAAUUGGACCUAAUCGGUUAUCCUACCCAUUCAGGAUUAUCGGCAAUACGUGAUUAAUCGGAAGGAUUAAUUGGAGUGAAAACCAGAUAUAUUUUAAUAUUAAAUAAUAUUUAAUAUUUUUUUAUUAUUAUAUUAGUUAUUUAUUAUCAAAUAUAUAUAUUUAGUAUAUCAUAAAUUCUACGGUUGUUCAUAUUUAAAGUAAUAUAAUAGUUAAUUUUAAUAAAUUUUAUAUAUAAUUUGAUUAAAAAAAAUUUAUAAGGAUUAAUCAGAUUUUAAAAAUCAUAUCGGUCGCCUACCUUGGGGGAUUGAUCGUUAAAUCAAGCGAUUUUUAGAACAAUGGAUACGAGACAAUAGUGACUAAACACGGAUGAGCCUAAAUUUAGUGUACUCUUAGACUUUGCUGAGAGAAUGAAAUGAAAAUUGUAUUAUAUUUUGGGGAGGUUGGAGUAAAUGUUUAUAAUUUUCAUUACUUCUAUCAUUCUACACACCAUUCUACGUACACCAUUUGAGUUAAAAAAAUCUAACCCACAUAUUUUGAAAGGAAUGCUCGAUUCCAUUUCAUCUAACCCACAUAUUUUGAAAGGAAUGCUCGAUUCCAUUUCUUCUCUAUUUUCCAACAAUCCCCGUCAUGCAAAAUUCAGAUUCUCGAACUCACUCACUAUUGUCUAAUACAUUCUCCUUUCUCUUUUGUAGUUUCUCAUUCCAAGUGAACGCAACUUUAGUGUGCUUAAUUAAACAAACAUCAGCACACAACAAUAUACAGUUCCUCAUUAUGUUUAACUUAUCUUUUAGUCAGAUCUUUAAGUUGAAAGUGCUAAAGUGACAGUAGAGACCUUGAAGCAAUUACGAGCUAAACGUUAUAAUAGCUUGAACACUCCUUACUUUAACUUUUUAUAUAUUAAAAGCACCAACAUAUUGGCGAUUAUUUCACACAUUCCAUAUCAGCCACACCAGAUAGUUGAUGUUGGCAAUUGGAAAUUAUUUAGUACAUGAUGAUAAUCAGAUUCAUGUUUAGCAGUUAACUGGGGCAAUGACAGCACCAACGACAGUAAGGCCAGUCUUCCAGGUGGUUCCAUCACAUCCAUUCAUCGAGAACUUGACAAUAUUCUCACAGCCGCAGGGGGCUGUGUUGCAGAAUUCACCAACCUUAAGCCCCACCAAUGUAUUCUUUGGCUUGGUCGUCAAAUCUUCCUUGUGCUCUUCAGUAGUGCCGUUGGGACGAGUAAGCUUAAGGGUCACUGGACCGUUCAUGCAAAGAUUGUCGCUAAGCUCCACAGCAAGAUACACUCCGUAUUUCACUCCCUUGAUGAGGUUGGUGGCACUGUACUUUCCGUCAAUUUGUAGCCAGCAUACUGUGAUGAGUUCAGCAACCUCCAGAGGCUGGGGACUGUGUGUACAAAAGUCCGAAAACCCAAAUAUCAUGUAAAAAUUUGUCUCAAAUCUUUGGUCUCGAAAAUUGGAAGUCAAUGUCCAGUCAUUAAAUUCCAACAUGUGCUAUAUAUACAUACCUGAUUGGGUAUUUCUUAGAAACCCAUUUCCAGUAGCGGCAGUCUGAACCCCAAACUAUUGAGAGUUCCUUUGCA